AAAAAGAAAAGUGCAGGUAAUAUGUCAAAGUAACAGGUGUUUUUUAUAUAAUCGUGUUUUUUCGUUUUCGUCUUUGUUUUUCAAACUCUUGCUUU
rnacentral:ribozyme from 1 species